AUCUCAGCAGGAACCUGAUGGUGUCCACUGGACUGCUACAGCUCUUUGCAAUACCAACUAUUCAGACUGAACAUGGACAUUGUUCUUCAAUUCAGCUUCUAGAAAAGAAGUCUAGGCUAUCCACUUGGAGAAAGUGGCCAUGUGAAUAAAAGGACCCCAGCAGCAGCCCAGCACCAUGGUUCCUGACAUGCGAUAGGGGAACUGUCUGCAUACCAAAAGUAGUAAUGGUUGAGAAUCGAAUAAAGGAACUAUUUAUAGAGGUAUAAGGAUGGCUAAGAGCAACGGAAGAGAAUGAUGAAGAUUCCAAGGAAUAGAAACGGGGGAAGUCAACAAUAGCUUUAAGUCUGAAGGGGUGAGAAGGAGAUGCUGUUACAUGAAAUUAGAGCUGCGGCCAUAUGAA